CCCGCAGGCCGUCUUAUCGCUCCCGGCAGGGAGAGGAAAGUCCGGACACCACAGCGCAGCGUAGCGGGUAACACCCGUCGUCCCGAUACCGGGAAAGGACCAGUGCAACAGAAAGUAUGUACAGGUAAGGCUGUAGUGAAAUCAGGUAAACUCUACGCGGUGCAACGCCAUGUAUACCGGCAUCAGAGGGUUGCGCGCCCGAAUCGCCCCGGGCGAGUGCCGGAGGGUAGGCGGUUAGAGAUACCGGGCAACCGGUAUCCCAGAUAAAUGAUAAGACACGACAGAAUCCGGCUUACAGGCCUGCAUUUUUU
rnacentral:RNase_P_RNA from 1 species